UGGCGGACGGGUGAGUAACGCGUGGAAAACCUGCCGUAUACUAGGGGGAUAACACUUAGAAAUAGGUGCUAAUACCGCAUAAGCGCACAGCUUCGCAUGAAGCGGUGUGAAAAACUCUGGUGGUAUACGAUGGUUCCGCGUCUGAUUAGCUAGUUGGUGGGGUAAUGGCCUACCAAGGCAACGAUCAGUAGCCGGCCUGAGAGGGUGAACGGCCACAUUGGGACUGAGACACGGCCCAAACUCCUACGGAAGGCAGCAG
rnacentral:rRNA from 1 species